UCUUUUCCUGAUUCUGAUCCCCUAGUCAUUCAGCCUUAGCUAUAUUCAUAAGUGGAAGGUUUUUGCUCCUCAUUAAAUUAAAUUCUCUUUCUUACUCUCCACACUCAUAUUUCUAGUUUUCUUGCAGAUGUAACUUUGACUCGGGAACAAACAUCUGCUUAAAAUCACAUUUAUGUGUAACAACUAUUAAAAGAGGAGUGUGUCUCCUUUCUUCUUACAGCAAACAUCAAAUUUGAAAAUCUGCUAAUUCUCUUAAUGCUGCUUGCUGUCGCAGUGGUAUAUAUUUCCACUUUUUUUGUUAAGAUAAUGAUUUAAAUUUGGGGCUCUAAUUUUACGCAGCUGUGGAAAAGACAAGUGGUCCUCUCUAUUAUAGGCGGUUUCCUAGUGACAAGAAGCUCACGUGUGUUUCAGCAAAUGCACUUGACAGAGAAAGUGCCUUCAGUCUGUGCUCACCUAUCUGCUUCCUUUAUAUUCAUUUGGAUUUUUAAGCAAUAAUUUUAUUUCCAUUUUAUUUAAAUUGAAAGCAUUUUUUCUAACUUCUUGGUUUGUUUUCCAAAAGCAGGGCUAGCAGAACAUGUGUUCCACCAUAUAGUAUCCUUACAUAAAAAAAAAAAAAAAAAAAAUCUAUUCUGACCUACGAGGUUACUAAGUAGGUUUUAUUUUGUUUUUCUUUGUUUUGUUUCAACACUGUAAAUGACAAAAUUUUAAAACUGCAUCUUCGGUGUAUCCUCCUCCACAAAACCUGAAGUAUUUAACUCAGACUCCAUGGUCAAGAAAUACAGAAAUAAACAUUUAACGGGAUUUACUGAAGACAGAAGACACCCCUAGAUGUGAGUGGUACCAAAAAACAGAUCUGUUGCCUGACUGGAAUAAAAGGAACAUGGCUUGCUUCUGUCUUCUCAGAGGAGCUGUAGUCUUUACUCUGCUCUUGAUGUCAUCUCCUGGCUUCCAGUGCAGCCCCUUCAGCCUGCUGAUAUGGACUUGCACGGGACAUUGCGGUAAACUCCAGGCCUCUGACCGCUGAUUUUAGGUCUUCAGCACCCAGACAGGCCUUGUAUAGUCUCCCACCUCUGACUCUGCCAGUGCCCAUUCUAAGCCUAUCUUGUGAAUCCUUAUGUAUUUAUGUAUCUAACUUUAAAUCUGUUUCUCUAGUCAGUACUAUGUAAAACACUUACUGAUACUCUAAUCAAAAUCUUGUGAGCAAACCACUUGGAACCUCUUUUGUUUCUUUGUUGAAAAGAAGCUUUCUUUCUCUGAAUAAAUAUAUUCUGCUCUUCAAAGAUUUCUGUCAGAGUUUUAGUUAAGACAUUAGCUUUUUAAAAUAGUAACACAUACGUUCUUUUUAUUGUGACAUUGCGAUAAAUCUCAUUGAUUACACUUCUGUUAUGUUACAGGAUUCCUUUGUUCUGACUAUUGUUGCCAGAGAUCGAACCAUGAUCCUUGUACUUGCUAGAGACAUGGUCUCACUAUGAAGUUUAGCCAAGCCUUGAACCUAUAAGGAGUUCAGUCUGGCCUGGAACUCACGAAGAUCCUCCUGCGACAGCCUCUCUAGUGCUGAGGUUCCAGGCAUGUUCCCCCACACCCAGCAUUAAAGGGUUAUAUUUUAAAAGAUGUUCAUUAAAAUUUUUAGACUUUUGUUACUUAAAAGGAGUAAAUGGAAAAGAAAUCUAAGAAGAAAACUGUCAUUUAUUAUACACAAGAAUCUUCUACAAGAAAAAAGAUGUUGUAAUUUUUGUAAAGAGUCACCUUAUGCUUUACUAAGCAUCUUUAUAAUGUUUCAGUUUGUUAUGCUUAAACCUUAAAAGCAUAAGGUCUGUUUAGGUAUCUAAGAUCCUAGCAACAAGAGGAUUGUUUUAAGCCAUUUGUUACUUUGCUUGUAAAACAAACUCCUUUAUAUAGAAAUAGAAAAACAAAACUGUUCUCUUAUGAAUCCUUUAAUUUAUGUUUCUGGCAUUUUACUUGUUUCUGGUUGAAUUAUUGUUAGCAUGUGAACUUUUACUUAAGAUGAUUUAU